rnacentral:rRNA from 1 species
UGCCGCUUGCGAGGGCGUAUGGUGGAUGCCUUGGCAGACAGUACCGAUGAAGGACGUUUGAGGAUGCGAUAAUCCUAGGGGAGCCUCCAACAUGGCUUUGAUCCUAGGGUCUCCGAAUGGGGGAACCCGCCGGCCGUCAUGGGCCGGCACCGCCUAUGGGCGGGGGGUACGCAGGGAAGUGAAACAUCUCAGUACCUGCAGGAAGGGAUACUCCGUGAGUAGUGGCGAGCGAAAGCGGAUCAGACCAAACCGGUUGCGCGUGAUACCCGUCGGGGGUUGCGUUGCCGGUGUCGUGGGAUCACGUGUCCCGGUUCCGACGGGCCGGGCGGGAGUCAUAAAACGGCUUGCCAGGGGAACAGGCUUGAAGGCCUGGCCGUAGAGGGUGCCAGCCCCGUACCUGGACGUGAGCCGUCUUCCGAUCGUGUUGUCCCAAGUAGCGCGGGCCUCGUGGAAUCCCGCGUGAAUCAGCCCAGACCGUUGGGUAAGUCUAAGCAUACCUGUCUGACCGAUAGCGUACCAGUACCGUGAGGGAAAGGUGAAAAGCACCCCGGGAGGGGAGUGAAACAGUUCCUGAAACCGUGCGCCCACAAACCGUCGGAGCCUCCUUGUGGGGUGACGGCGUGCCUAUCGAAAAAUGAGUCUGCGAGUCAGUGGCGGGUGGCGAGCAUAAGCCGUGUGGCGUAUGCGUAGCGAAAGCGAGUCUUAAAAGGCGUUUGUAGUCGCUUGUCCUGGACCCGAAGCGGGAUGAUCUAGCCCUGGGCAGGUUGAAGCGCGGGUAAGACCGCGUGGAGGACCGAACCCACCUGGGUUGAAAACCGGGGGGAUGACCUGGGGCUAGGGGUGAAAGGCCAAUCAAAUUCCGUGAUAGCUGGUUCUCUCCGAAAUGCAUUUAGGUGCAGCGUCGGUCGAUUGCGUCGCGGGGGUAGAGCUACCGGAUGCUUGCGGGCCCUUGUUGGGUACCAACAGCAGCCGAACUCCGAAUACCGUUGACGUGUAUUCCGGCAGUGAGUCGGCGGGGGAUAAGCUCCGUCGUCGAGAGGGAGACAGCCCAGACCGUCGUCUAAGGUCCCGAAGCGUGUGCUAAGUGGGAAAGGAUGUGGAGUCGCAUAGACAGCCAGGAGGUUGGCUCAGAAGCAGCCAUCCUUGAAAGAGUGCGUAACAGCUCACUGGUCUAGUGGUUCCGCGCCGACAAUGUAGCGGGGCUCAAGCACACCACCGAAGACGCGGCAGCAAUCUUCAUGGUUGCUGGGUAGGAGAGCGUCCUGCGAGGGGCGAAGCGGCCGGGUAACCGUGCCGUGGACUUCGUGGGAGUGAGAAUGCAGACAUGAGUAGCGAGAGACGGGUGAGGAUCCCGUCCGCUGGAUGACCAAGGGUUCCGGGGCCACGUUCGUCGUCCCCGGGUGAGUCGGGUCCUAAGGCGAGGCCGACAGGCGUAGUCGAAUGGAUGAACGGGUGGAUAUUCCCGUACCGACCAUGGACCGGCAAAACCGAGACGGUGAGUACUAACCUCCGCCUCGUGGUGGUUCCUUCCUUCGGGUUGGUGUCGCCGCGUGGUGUUGGGAGCGUAGCCGCAGUAGGUCAGCGCAGGGGUGACACGGAAUGGGAGCCGGCCGCGGAGGUGGUUUUCCGUGGUCAAGCACGCAGCCAGUCAUGUAGGCAAAUCCGCAUGGCGUGCAUGGCGAGGUGUGAUGAUGGGAGCCUUUUGGGCUCGAUAUCCGGUUGUCCAGGCCGUCGAGAAAAGCCUCGGCGUGAGGGCCAUGGCCGCCCGUACCCCAAACCGACACUGGUGGUCAGGUAGAGAAUACCAAGGCGAUCGAGCGAAUCCUGGUCAAGGAACUCGGCAAAUCACUCCCGUGCCUUCGGUAUAAGGGAGACCCACUGGGGUGAAGGACCUUGCGUCCGGAGCUUUGGUGGGUGGCACAGACCAGGGGGUAGCGACUGUUUACCAAAAACACAGGUGCAUGCGAAGGCGAAAGCCGCUGUAUAUGCACUGACGCCUGCCCGGUGCCGGAAGGUUAAGAGGAUCCGUCAAUCCCUUCGGGAUGAAGCGGUGAAUUCAAGCCCCGGUAAACGGCGGUGGUAACUAUAACCAUCCUAAGGUAGCGAAAUUCCUUGUCGGGUAAGUUCCGACCUGCACGAAUGGCGUAACGACUU